UACGAAGGGGGCUAGCGUUGCUCGGAAUCACUGGGCGUAAAGCGCACGUAGGCGGGUUGUUAAGUCGGGGGUGAAAUCCUGGAGCUCAACUCCAGAACUGCCUUCGAUACUGGCGACCUUGAGUCCGGGAGAGGUGAGUGGAACUCCGAGUGUAGAGGUGAAAUUCGUAGAUAUUCGGAAGAACACCAGUGGCGAAGGCGGCUCACUGGCCCGGUACUGACGCUGAGGUGCGAAAAGCGUGGGGAGCAAACAGG
rnacentral:rRNA from 1 species